UUAUGUUCGUCUUUCUGAAGGUAAAACAUUAUAUGUUGGUGAUGUUGAAGAGAGUGGGCUCAUUCGAACGAAUCUCCUGAAGUGAACAGACAAACACCAUUGUAUAGUACCAAAUGGAUUACUAUCAAUGGAACAAAAUAUAAAGUAGGAGCUACUGUCCACAUUGGUUAUGAUUAUGUUGAAUUUCCCCAGUUUUGGGAAGUUAUUGGUAUUUAUAUCAUUAACCAAAAUGUUGCAAAUGCCAUGUUUGGUAUUUCAAGAAAACAGACUGUCAGGUUUUCUGAACAUUAUCAGGCUUAUGAAGUUGCUCAGUCAAAACAGAAGGAAAUUAAAAUUAAAUAUUUUAAAGAGUUAACCUCACAUUUGCCAUUUAACUUGAUAAAGCCAUUUGGGUGUAACACAAAAUACAUUUGCCAUAGAUAUGAAAUAGAUGUAGAAUAAAUUUUACUUUCCUGAACACAGCAUAUUCAUGCAUUAUCGUAAUGUAUAUAUUAUGGCCUUUCAAAAAAGCUGAUUAUCUUUGGUAUAAAUUAUUCUAUUUACUGUUUAA